AGCGAACGCUGGCGGCAGGCCUAACACAUGCAAGUCGAGCGGCCGUAGCAAUACGGCAGCGGCAGACGGGAGAGUAACACGUGGGAACGCGCCCUUCGGUUCGGGAUAACUCAGGGAAACUUGAGCUAAUACCGGAUACGCCCUUACGGGGAAAGAUUUAUUGCCGAAGGAACGGCCCGCGUCCGAUUAGCUUGUUGGUGAGGUAACGGCUCACCAAGGCGACGAUCGGUAGCUGGUCUGAGAGGAUGACCAGCCUCACUGGGACUGAGACACGGCCCAGACUCCUACGGGAGGCAGCAGUGGGGAAUAUUGGACAAUGGGCGCAAGCCUGACCCAGCCAUGCCGCGUGGGUGAUGAAGGCCCUAGGGUUGUAAAGCCCUUUCAGCGGGGAAGAUAAUGACGGUACCCGCAGAAGAAGCCCCGGCUAACUUCGUGCCAGCCGCCGCCGUAA
rnacentral:rRNA from 1 species